GUGAAAUCACCUUUAGGUCCUUCGCAACAGGUGAUCGAUGCUGAGACUAGUUAUGACAGGACAACAAUUAAUAUCACGGCUAAACAAGCAAAUCCCCUGGUAGUGACUGCCUCAGUAUCGAACACUUAAAAUAUGCCGGGAUUCAUUUGCCGAGAGUUUUGUCUAUGUUCUUUUCAUUUUGUCUAAGCCAUGCGUACUUACCAGAUGAGUUAAUGAAUACCAUUGUUGUACCCAUAGUGAAAAACAAGACUGGAGACAUCGCUGACAAAACCAACUAUAGACCAAUCUCUCUCGCAAAUGUACUCGCCAAAGUAUUGGAUGGCAUGCUUAACGCCCAUCUUGACCACUACUUACAAUUUCAGGACGGACAAUUUGGAUUUAGACCUGGCCUCUCGACUGAAACUGCCAUUUUGAGCCUUAAGCAUGCCGUCCGGUAUUACACUGAACGUAGCACUACCGUCUACGCAUGUUUCCUGGACCUCUCUAAAGCCUUUGACUUAGUUUCCUACGACGUCUUAUGGCAGAAGAUGAGGGAUAGGAACAUACCAACGGAAUUGACCAGCAUAUUUCAGUAUUGGUACGCUAAUCAGCGCAAUUGUGUACGAUGGGCUAGUGCACGUUCAGACUCGUAUGGUUUAGAGUGUGGCGUAAGACAAGGAGGAUUGUCUUCGCCUAAGCUCUUUAACUUGUAUAUGGAUGGGCUUAUAUCUGAGCUCAGCAACACGCAUGUGGGAUGUCACGUGGAUGGUGUCUGUGUAAACAACAUCAGCUACGCAGACGACAUGGUGUUGUUGAGCCCAUCGGUGAAGGCACUGAGAAGGCUCCUGAAUAUUUGCGAGUCCUAUGCGAGCAGACACGGAUUACAAUAUAAUGUAAAAAAAAGUGAAUA